ensembl:lncRNA
GCCCCUGCAGCAGGCCACUGCUGACCCGUACCUCCACAGGAGACACUCAGAUACAGUUCUGGUUCAGUCUCUGUGGGUUGGGUGUGUGUUUUUUGCCCUUCCCAGGUCAGAGCAGCUCAGGCAACCAAGUGCUUGGUGAGUGCACUGCCCCAGGUGGGCCGUGCAUCUUAGUCACCUCCCUCGUCCCGACCACUCGGUUUCCCGGGUGCGUUGCGAGAGCACCAUCUCAGGCGUGCCAUAGGUCUCCUCUGGAGAGCUGAUCUCAGGCUGCGACCCUCCUGGCAGAUGUCAACCAUCCAGGAUCUCAGGAAGACAAGAUAGUAGUUCCCACCCAGAGGACAGCAAGCACAGUGAAUGUCUGAUGCCGCGGGACGGUGCUUCAACCUUGAAGAUGCCCUGAGAGUUCUGCAGCCCUAGGAGCAGACUGUGAAUCCUUACAGCCCCUCCCCCAUCACCACUCACCCUCCUGCUCCCAGGGCCAAGGCUUGAAGGUUUGUAUGUAGGAGACUUACUCUACCUUGGACUUCUCCUGUGAGCAGUAAGACCUGACUCUUGUGUCUACUCUGUACCUCUCACCCACCUUCACAACACGGAGUUUUAUACCCGUUCCUGGGGCAAGGAGC